AAUAAUAAAAAAUACCACUCCAGUUGCUCAUAGAAAGGUCAGAGGAGAGCAGAAAUGGUUUAAAUCAUUUAACAGACGAUACGAUAAAUAAAACAAAUGUUUACCAUUCAGUCUAAUAGGAUCAUUCUCGUGGUUAUGGUCACUGUCAGGAGGAUCAACAGGUACACCGGCUUUCUUAAUUGGCCAUGCAAUGAAGGGAAAGCAAAAUGAUUCAGCCAUUUCAUCGCCGGAUAUUUGAUAUCCUGGGAGUCCACAACACUUGGCUUUUGGUUUACGGAUUUGAUCGAAAGGAAUAACCAGUUCUCCACGUGGCUUUUUGGAGAACAUAUUGGCAUGGUAGACCAAUAUGUUUCUGGAUGACUGGAUUCGUCAAUC